UGGAUCCCAGGUUCAAAGCUCUGCCUUUCCUCACCAAAGAGGAGCAACUGGACAUCCACGCCAAAGUGAUUGGAGAGGCUGCAGCUCUUGAGAAAGAGGUGGUGCCAGUUGAAGCUGGGGAUGAGAAUCCAGAGACCAUAAAAGGAGGAGAAGAAGAAGGCCCUCCUGCUCCUAAAAGAGCAUCAGCGAUUGUUAACCUGCUCCGAAAAACAUUUACUGAGUCUUUCUACAAACGGGAGCAGCUGAAUGGACAACUACAAACAUGUCUGAAGUCGAGCA